rnacentral:rRNA from 1 species
GAUGAACGCUGGCGGCGUGCCUAAUACAUGCAAGUCGAGCGAACAGACGAGGAGCUUGCUCCUCUGACGUUAGCGGCGGACGGGUGAGUAACACGUGGAUAACCUACCUAUAAGACUGGGAUAACUUCGGGAAACCGGAGCUAAUACCGGAUAAUAUAUUGAACCGCAUGGUUCAAUAGUGAAAGACGGUUUUGCUGUCACUUAUAGAUGGAUCCGCGCCGCAUUAGCUAGUUGGUAAGGUGACGGCUUACCAAGGCAACGAUGCGUAGCCGACCUGAGAGGGUGAUCGGCCACACUGGAAAUGAGACACGGUCCAGACUCCUACGGCAGGCAGCAGUAGGGAAUCUUCCGCAAUGGGCGAGAGCCUGACGGAGCAACGCCGCGUGAGUGAUGAAGGUCUUCGGAUCGUAAAACUCUGUUAUUAGGGAAGAACAAAUGUGUAAGUAACUAUGCACGUCUUGACGGUACCUAAUCAGAAAGCCACGGCUAACUACGUGCCAGCAGCCGCCGUAAAAC